rnacentral:misc_RNA from 1 species
GGAGAUCAAGAACGGGCGGCUGGCCAUGUUCUCCAUGCUGGGGUUCUUCAUCCAGGCCUACGUCACCGGCGAGGGCCCCGUCGAGAACCUCUCCAAGCACCUCAGCGACCCCUUCGGCAACAACCUGCUCACCGUCAUCUCCGGCGCCGCCGAGAGGACGCCCAGCCUGUAAACAUCUCGCCGCCGGCGACGCUGGCUGGCCUCAAGUUAAUUUUAAUCUUACCCGGGAAGAAGAAGGGAGGAGUUUGAGAAGGGUGGAAGAAUGUGUUAAAUGUACGUGUAAAUUAUCGUCGAGUUGGGAGAUGAAUUUGAAAACCUGUUCAUUCUGAUCUUCUGAUAGGAAGGACCAAGUGUUUGGAUUUGUGGCUGAGAAAUAUUUGCUACCUG